UCAAGAAACUUCCACAAUGGGCGAAACCCUGAUGGAGCGACGUCGCGUGAUGGACGAAGUGCUUCGGCACGUAAACAUCUUUUAUGUGGGAUGAAAUUAUUGACAGUACCACAUGAAUAAGGGGCUCCUAACUCUGUGCCAGCAGGAGCGGUAAUACAGAGGCCCCAAGCGUUAUCCGGAAUCACUGGGCGUAAAGGGUGUCGAGGCGGUUGUAUUAGUCGUUCGUAAAAUCUACGAGCUUAACUUGUAGGCGGCGAACGAAACGGUACGACUUGAGGUUUGGAGAGGUGCGUGGAACUCACGGUGUAGGGGUGAAAUCCGUUGAUAUCGUGGGGAACACCAAAGGCGAAGGCAGCGCACUGGCCAAAAUCUGACGCUCACACACGAAAGCUAGGGUAGCGAAGAGGAUUAGAUACCCCCGUAGUCCCUGAGCGGGCUGGCAAGGCGCAU
rnacentral:rRNA from 1 species